GAUGAACGCUGGCGGCGUACCUAAUACAUGCAAGUCGAGCGAACAGACGAGGAGCUUGCUCCUCUGACGUUAGCGGCGGACGGGUGAGUAACACGUGGAUAACCUACCUAUAAGACUGGGAUAACUUCGGGAAACCGGAGCUAAUACCGGAUAAUAUAUUGAACCGCAUGGUUCAAUAGUGAAAGACGGUUUUACUGUCACUUAUAGAUGGAUCCGCGCCGCAUUAGCUAGUUGGUAAGGUAACGGCUUACCAAGGCGACGAUGCGUAGCCGACCUGAGAGGGUGAUCGGCCACACUGGAACUGAGACACGGUCCAGACUCCUACGGGAGGCAGCAGUAGGGAAUCUUCCGCAAUGGGCGAAAGCCUGACGGAGCAACGCCGCGUGAGUGAUGAAGGUCUUCGGAUCGUAAAACUCUGUUAUUAGGGAAGAACAAAUGUGUAAGUAACUAUGCACGUCUUGACGGUACCUAAUCAGAAAGCCACGGCUAACUACGUG
rnacentral:rRNA from 1 species